rnacentral:pre_miRNA from 1 species
UUUGUACUCCCUCCGUUCGAAAUUACUUGUUUUGGAAAUGGAUAUAUCUAGAACUAAAAUACGUCUAGAUAUAUCCAUUUUCGCGACAAGUAAUUCCGAACGGAGAGAGUACGUA